AUUACCAUAGUAAAAGAAUCGAAUCGAAUAACCAUAACGAGAAAACCUCACAUUCUGCUCCUGAGGAAGGAAUGAACACAUUCCGAAAGCUCGAGUAUAAAGAAUAAAGAGUGAUCCAUU